AGGAUUCUCGAGGGCAGGAACAUUGACUUCAAGCCUGCGCUUGAAGAACUUUAUUUCGAGGAGUUUAAGCGAAGCUCACAGGAACAACAGCAAGCUGCAGAAGUGGUGCAUGAAAUAGGACAAGUUGCUCGCCAAGUGCCUCAGGGCUAUCAAGUUUAUGAAAAACAAGCUCAGCUGCUCCUCUUCCACUACAGCUAUUCCG